rnacentral:rRNA from 1 species
CCCAGACUCCUACGGGAGGCAGCAGUGGGGAAUAUUGCACAAUGGGGGAAACCCUGAUGCAGCGACGCCGCGUGAGUGAAGAAGUAAUUCGUUAUGUAAAGCUCUAUCAGCAGGGAAGAAAAUGACGGUACCUGAGUAAGAAGCCCCGGCUAACUACGUGCCAGCAGCCGCGGUAAUACGUAGGGGGCAAGCGUUAUCCGGAUUUACUGGGUGUAAAGGGAGCGUAGACGGUGAGACAAGUCUGAAGUGAAAGCCCGGGGCUCAACCCCGGGACUGCUUUGGAAACUGCCUGACUGGAGUGCUGGAGAGGCAAGCGGAAUUCCUAGUGUAGCGGUGAAAUGCGUAGAUAUUAGGAAGAACACCAGUGGCGAAGGCGGCUCGCUGGACAGUAACUGACGUUGAGGCUCGAAAGCGUGGGGAGCAAACAGGAUUAGAUACCCCGGUAC